GAUGAACGCUGGCGGCGUGCCUAAUACAUGCAAGUCGAGCGAACGGACGAGAAGCUUGCUUCUCUGAUGUUAGCGGCGGACGGGUGAGUAACACGUGGAUAACCUACCUAUAAGACUGGGAUAACUUCGGGAAACCGGAGCUAAUACUGGAUAAUAUUUUGAACCGCAUGGUUCAAAAGUGAAAGACGGUCUUGCUGUCACUUAUAGAUGGAUCCGCGCUGCAUUAGCUAGUUGGUAAGGUAACGGCUUACCAAGGCAACGAUGCAUAGCCGACCUGAGAGGGUGAUCGGCCACCAGGGAACGGAGAACCGGGCCCACCCCCUAGGGGGGGCAGCAGUGGGAAAUCUUCCGAAAGGGGCGAAAGCCUGACGGGGCAACGCCGGGGGAGUGAUGAAGGUCUUCGGAUCGUAAAACUUUGUUAUUAGGGAAAAACAUAUGUGUAAGUAACUGGGCCCCUUUUGACGGUACCUAAUAAAAAAACCCCGGCUAACUACGU
rnacentral:rRNA from 1 species